rnacentral:rRNA from 1 species
UAUACAGCGAAACUGCGAAUGGCUCAUUAUAUAAGUUAUCGUUUAUUUGAUAGUGCCUUACUACUUGGAUAACCGUGGUAAUUCUAGAGCUAAUACAUGCUAAAAACCCCGACUUCGGAAGGGGUGUAUUUAUUAGAUACAAAACCAAUGCCCUUCGGGGCUCUUUGGUGAUUCAUGAUAACUAUACGAAUCGCACGGCCUUGCGCCGGCGAUGGUUCAUUCAAAUUUCUUCCCCAUCAACUUUCGAUGUUUGGGUAUUGGCCAAACAUGGUUGCAACGGGUAACGGAGGGUUAGGGCUCGACCCCGGAGAAGGAGCCUGAGAAACGGCUACUACAUCCAAGGAAGGCAGCAGGCGCGCAAAUUACCCAAUCCCGACUCGGGGAGGUAGUGACAAUAAAUACUGAUACAGGGCCCUUUCGGGCCUUGUAAUUGGAAUGAGUACAAUUUAAAUCCCUUAACGAGGAACAAUUGGAGGGCAAGUCUGGUGCCAGCAGCCGCGGUAAUUCCAGCUCCAAUAGCGUAUAU